AAUCUUAUAAAGGGGUGCCCUAACAGAACGGGCUGAGAUUAUACCCAUCGAACCUGCUCCGGGUAAUGCCGGCGAAGGGAACUGGAUUUCUUAUAACA
rnacentral:ncRNA from 2 species